CCUACGGGAGGCUGCAGUGGGGAAUAUUGGACAAUGGGCGAAAGCCUGAUCCAGCCAUGCCGCGUGUGUGAAGAAGGCCUUCGGGUUGUAAAGCACUUUCAGUGGGGAAGAAAGCCUUGGGGCUAAUACCCUCGAGGAGGGACAUCACCCACAGAAGAAGCACCGGCUAACUCCGUGCCAGCAGCCGCGGUAAUACGGAGGGUGCGAGCGUUAAUCGGAAUUACUGGGCGUAAAGCGCGCGUAGGCGGUCUGAUAAGCCGGUUGUGAAAGCCCCGGGCUCAACCUGGGAACGGCAUCCGGAACUGUCAGGCUAGAGUGCAGGAGAGGAAGGUAGAAUUCCCGGUGUAGCGGUGAAAUGCGUAGAGAUCGGGAGGAAUACCAGUGGCGAAGGCGGCCUUCUGGACUGACACUGACGCUGAGGUGCGAAAGCGUGGGUAGCAAACAGGAUUAGAUACCCUAGUAGUC
rnacentral:rRNA from 1 species